AUACGGAGGAUCCGAGCGUUAUCCGGAUUUAUUGGGUUUAAAGGGUGCGCAGGCGGGAGAUUAAGUCGGCGGUGAAAUUUUGCAGCUCAACUGUAAAAGUGCCUUCGAAACUGGUUUCCUUGAGUGUAGAUGAAGUAGGCGGAAUUUGGGGUGUAGCGGUGAAAUGCAUAGAUAUCACGAGGAACCCCGAUUGCGCAGGCAGCUUACUAAACUACUACUGACGCUCAGGCACGAAGGCGUGGGGAUCAAACAGGAUUAGAUACCCUGGUAGUCCACGCAGUAAACGAUGAUUACUAGCUGUUUGCGAUACAAUGUAAGCGGCUGAGCGAAAGCGUUAAGUAAUCCACCUGGGGAGUACGUUCGCAAGAAUGAAACUCAAAGGAAUUGACGGGG
rnacentral:rRNA from 1 species